rnacentral:rRNA from 1 species
UACGUAGGGGGCAAGCGUUAUCCGGAUUUACUGGGUGUAAAGGGAGCGUAGGCGGCGAUGCAAGUCAGAAGUGAAAGCCCGGGGCUCAACUCCGGGACUGCUUUUGGAACUAUCAAGCUAGAGUGCUGGAGGGGUAAGCGGAAUUCCUAGUGUAGCGGUGAAAUGCGUAGAUAUUAGGAGGAACACCGGUGGCGAAGGCGGCUUACUGGACAGAAACUGACACUGAGGCUCGAAAGCGUGGGGAGCAAACAGG